CAGAGGGUGCAAGCGUUAAUCGGAUUUACUGGGCGUAAAGCGUGCGUAGGUGGCCAAUUAAGUCAAAAUGUGAAAUCCCCGAGCUUAACUUGGGAAUUGCAUUCGAUACUGGUUGGCUAGAGUAUGGGAGAGGACGGUAGAAUUCCAGGUGUAGCGGUGAAAUGCGUAGAGAUCUGGAGGAAUACCGAUGGCGAAGGCAGCCAUCUGGCCUAAUACUGACACUGAGGUACGAAAGCAUGGGAGCAAACAGGAUU
rnacentral:rRNA from 1 species